GCGUUGUAUUAGCUAGUUGGUGAGGUAACGGCUCACCAAGGCGACGAUACAUAGCCGACCUGAGAGGGUGAUCGGCCACACUGGGACUGAGACACGGCCCAGACUCCUACGGGAGGCAGCAGUAGGGAAUCUUCGGCAAUGGGGGCAACCCUGACCGAGCAACGCCGCGUGAGUGAAGAAGGUUUUCGGAUCGUAAAGCUCUGUUGUAAGAGAAGAACGUGUGUGAGAGUGGAAAGUUCACACAGUGACGGUAACUUACCAGAAAGGGACGGCUAACUACGUGCCAGCAGCCGCGGUAAUACGUAGGUCCCGAGCGUUGUCCGGAUUUAUUGGGCGUAAAGCGAGCGCAGGCGGUUUAAUAAGUCUGAAGUUAAAGGCAGUGGCUUAACCAUUGUUCGCUUUGGAAACUGUUAGACUUGAGUGCAGAAGGGGAGAGUGGAAUUCCAUGUGUAGCGGUGAAAUGCGUAGAUAUAUGGAGGAACACCGGUGGCGAAAGCGGCUCUCUGGUCUGUAACUGACGCUGAGGCUCGAAAGCGUGGGGAGCAAACA
rnacentral:rRNA from 1 species